UAUUAGGUUACUCAAAGCGAGUACUGGUCUCUUAAACCAAUUUAUAGUAAUUAUGCGUCUACUUCUAAUAA
rnacentral:tRNA from 1 species